GAGGCGCGCGCGCGCCUCCCAUGCAAAUGGGGCGCUCUUGCCAUGCAUUUUUUUAACCGCCCGCUCAUGCAUUAGGCAUGUGCUCGGAAUGCGGUUGGGUCUAUUUUAAGCUAUUUUUCAUAAAUAUGAUAACAUUCACAGGGGCCUUCGUCGGCGGCGAUUCCUGAGCGGUUGGUGAAUGCGCCCGCCGAUCACCCCCGAGAGCUGGAUGGACCGAGGGAUUUUGCCUGGCAAAGCCGGCCCUGCCGCCCUCAGUUUACGCCAUACGGCCCCGCACUACUCGGUUAGUGUGGUCUCUGUCUGAUGCAUCCGUGACGUCGGUUAGAUGCGUGAACUCAAAGGCGACAUUGACGGUGCAAGCGCACAGGCCAGGACUCAGGGAGAUUUUCAACCAAAGUUUAAUCAUAAACCUUUUCGUCACUGA
rnacentral:lncRNA from 1 species